CUCGCAAUUGGAGUCCGGGCGUCGGUGGUGAGUGACCUGAAACUAAAGCUCUGAGAACACUCUCGACCACAGGGAACCGAGUGGGAAGUGCUUGCAGUGCCGUAUGGAGGAGUUGCACACUGCCGCCUGCUACGAAGAAGCCACUGGAGCCCACAGCAAGGGAGCUGUCUCAGGCUCCUCUCAGAGCUCCCCGCCUGGGAUGCCAGAGCAAUGCCGGGCACCUGACACAGGCAGGACUACUCUAGACCUUUAUGGAACUUGGGUCUGGACUUGUGCUUUCUUUUCUCUGUAUUAGGUGAGUAGAUG